GAUUGUUUGAGUGCUAUUUAUAACAAAAUAUAAUGAAAUAAAGUGAAAUAAGUAAGGAAUUAUUUCUUUUUUUAAUGUAGUAAACAGAAUAUAAAUAGAGUCUUAAGCUGAAGCUGAAUUUUGAUAAAAGCUGCAGCUGGCAAUGGCCAUUUGACUUUUUAAUGAAGUGGGAGGCUGCCAUGUUAAAAUGUGAUGGGCCAGACUGAACUGUCUUAUAAUCAGUCACCCAAACUCUUGCCCCGAGGCUAAAAGUCAAAGGAUCGCUGAGACCUGAUGUAAUACUUGUGUGAUUCUCCCCUUUGAAAUUUCAAACUCCAGUUUGUGAACAAAGUCCUGUCUAUCUUCUGAAUAGGAAUCUCCGACCACUGACCAAACUCCAUUUGUAACCACUGCCUAUUUGUACCUUCUCCUCAAUGACUACAUUUCAUUUCCCCAAGUCCGAUCUCAAAGGCAGGCGGCAGGGAAGCAGCAUAAUAAAAUCAAAAUGCAGAAACCAGCAGCUGGGAGGAAAAAAGACGAACGUGGUGGCCUGGAAGAGUUAAUAAGAUGUGGAAUAUAAACUCUCCGGGGACUUAUUUUGCUUCUUUCAAAGAGAGCUUCACCUUAGUGGAAAAGCAAGGCAUAACCAGGAAUGUGUUGAUGUUGAUAAGAGGAAAACAGAAGGAAACAAUGUGCUGGCUGCAGCAGAUUUAAGGCCGGCAGAAAAAGCCUGCUGCAGUAGAUGGAGGAGAUAGGGGCUUUACCUCGAAGAUUUUAACGCACGCACAGCAGGAAAAAACAACUACAACUAAGUUUAUGUGUCUUUUACCUUUACCCGGGUUGGUAAAGUGGAGGAUUCCAUCCUGGCCAUACAUCCCUGGGAAAGCUGAGCUCUGACAGUGCGCCGGCCAGCUGUGUGAAGGCCCAUGAGCCUCGUCGCCUCUCCCAGGCCCGGCUAGGCUGAGGCAGGCUGGGAGGAAAAGCAGCUACUGGAUAGUGUUGUUUGCUGGGGCCGCCAGGCCGACUGUAAGGGCCCAAGGCACAUGGGGAUAAUCCCCUAAUGCCUGUCACAAUGAGAUUUUAUUGGAGACUUGAACACUCGGAUUAUUAGUGUCAAGAGAACAGUGUGUAAUACCUGCUCUCCAAACAGGUUGCUAAUUGGGCUUUCUGCCUCUGUUAAAUACCCAAGAGGCACACUGAGAUUUGUUAAAUGUCACAUUUGAUGUCAGCACAGAUUACGUUUCAUUUCAUUAGCUGAGUGGUUCUUUCACCGGCUAAUGUAACUUUAACAUAAUGCAAGCUUCAGCUAUUUAUAUUAUUUCACUAUACAAAUUCUUUUAAGGGUCAUGUCCCAGCAUAAGGAAAGAACCUUACAAACUAGCUACAGGGAAAUAUCAACACAACGUUUUAAAAUGAGGUAACUGAUUUAUCAAAGUGAUAAAAGGAAUGGAAAAGAAAACAAAUAUUUCAUGGUGGCAAAAGUGGACAUUAGAUAAGCCUUGCUAAAAAGGGCUUUUCAUUUCAUCACAUUAUGGCUCCUUAUGGAGAAAGCCCACAAUAACUCAGUAAUAGCUUAGUGAUUUUAGCUGUCAUUUGAGUCAUAAUCUGACUCAGACCUCGUAAGUCUUCCUGUGCUGUUAAAUCUUGCACGUAUUACAUAAUAUGCAAAUGCUGCAGGUUAUUUCUUGGUUAUGUCUGACUGAAGCUGUGAGGAACAUUAAAGCCAAAGUGACACAAGUCUGAAUGAUAGAAUGCCAUCAUUUGACCAAGAGCACUUCAGUUUAUGUAAUUUAGUUUGAUUCCUCCAGACAGUCUUACCACAUGGGAAAAGUAGGCAUGACUUUUGAUUUUUAAGAGCGUAUGAGUAUCUGUAAAAGCCCCACAUUUGCAAGUGAGAAGGCCUAGAUGUAAAUAUAAAUGGACAGAGGUGGAGCCAGAGAGUUUUUAUAGGGGUGGCCAGGCAGACAUGUUAACAAUUUCUUUCCCCCAGGCAUGUCACCGUGGAUCAAAUGUUCAGGUUUGGUCACUUAUUUUUAACAUUUGCUUAUAUGGGCAUACAAUAAACUAUUUAUUGUUUUUGUGUAUUCAUAUUUAUUAUUAUGUGACAAUAAUCUAAAUAGUGGCUGGUUCUUGUUAAUAUGUGUGAGAACAUCAGCUAGAGAAAUGGUAACACAGUUUGAACUUGAAAAACAGUUUGUAACAAUAUGAUGUAACUCGAUGUAACUGUUAAUAUGAAUGUGGCUACAGUACUAGACAAUACUAAUCUUCCAGUGUUUUGAGAGAGUAUGUUAGCUCUACAUGUAUAAACUGUUAAAAUGAUUGCUUCAAACAAUACUUUCACUUUGAAAUAAAUACUGACCAGUAAAUGCA